CCGGCGGCAGCCUCGGCGGUCUGGGCGGGGCGGGAAGCCCGCUUUCAACCCCGCGUACCCUCUGACCCCGGAAGUGCUUGCUGCGCAGGACCCCUUGAAAAAAAAUGAGGACCCGUCUUUUUUAGGUCACAAGAUUGCGCCAACCCUUACAUGGUCCUUAAAAAAAAAACCUUCUGACACUGCAGUAGUGAAAAUGAAGCGCACGAUGGGCGGAAGCUGUGAGUCCGGCAAAGUUUUAAAAUGAUGACGUAUUUUAUUAACUCUAACGGCACUGGCGGGUGACUGAAAAUACUAGUGCUGUGUAUGCGGGAUAGACAUUAUUUUCCUGCCCUACAUGAGGGGCUCGUGCGCGGAACGACAUGGGCAGCCCCGGCGGAAACUGCAGGCACAAGCCGGGACGCCGCGGGUUUAAAACAUGCGCGUGAGAGGAAGACAAACAUAAAGAUGAAGUGCUUAAUUCAAGGUCACACAAUGUCGGGGAUGGACCUCCAGAUUUCCUUACUGACCUGCAUUAUCUUGUGGAUACCUGAGUGAAUUCCACACCACCCAUUUUAUAGAUGAAACCACUGAGACAUGGAGCAAUUGACUGAGUAGUCACUGCCCCACCCCUGCCUGGAGCCUCACACAUGACUCGCCUCCUCUCAGUGACCACAGGUGAGACGUGGUCUUGUAACACAGUGGUUAAGAAUGUGACUUUGGAGCCAGCCUGCUAGGGGCUGAAUUCUGACUCAGCCAUUUACUAACUGUGUGACCUUAGGGAGGAGGACCUGGUUGAUAGAAGAAUUUAUCUCGUAGUCUUAACAUCCACUGUAAUUCCAAACUUUGAGGACGAUAGAGAUCAGUGGGCUUUGACUGCCCAGCAUGCAGUCUCCAUUCUUAGGUGGGUUCCCAAGCCUGUAAAAUGUAAGCCUUAUGCUGCUGAGGGCCAUCUUGCCACCCUGAGGGAAACGCUGCCUGAGAAUGAAACAAGCAUAAGUAAAAGCUGAGCUGUGAGAUGGAGCAAGAUGAAGGCCACAUGACAUCUUUGGAGCACCUGGAUCUAACUGUGCCUUAAGCUAGUCUAACCCUGAACAUUUCAUCAUUUCAUUGACAUGAGCCCAGGUUUUCUUUUUUUUUGGAUGGAGUCUUGCUCUGUCGCCCAGGCUGGAGUGCAGUAGCUCAAUCUCGGCUCACUGCAAGCUCCACCUCCCGGGUUCACGCCAUUCUCCUGCCUUAGCCUCCCAAGUAGCUGGGACAACAGGCGCCCACCACCACUCCCAGCUAAUUUUUUGUAUUUUUAGUAGAGACGGGGUUUUACCAUGUUAGCCGGGAUGGUCUUGAUCUCCUGACCUCAUGAUCCGCCCGCCUCGGCCUCCCAAAGUGCUGGGAUUACAGGUGUGAGCCACUGCACCCAGCCCUCAGGUUUUCCCUUUUUUUACCCCUCCUUUUGAAAAUUUGAUGUGGAAUUUUGCCACCUGCAGCCAGAAGAGUUUUAACUAAUCAGUGCCAUAAAUUUUAUAUAGUUCUCCUUGCAAAAUGUGGAUCAGCCUUUCUCAGCAAAUCCUUUGUCAUAAAGUGCUGAAUUGUAAGUUUGUCAUGAGAAUCACAUGAGAUCAUGCAUGUGAAGAACCUGGCAUUAUCCUCCUCAUAGAAAAAAACCAGUAAAUAUUAACUACAGGAAGCAAGGAAGGAGUGGGGUGAGGGGAAGAAGAAGGGGUACUGAUUUAAAAGAACCCUGGAGUCCUAAGGAUAAUCUAGGAACCCUCAGACCCAAUCCGAUACCCCUAUUCUAAAUGCUCCUAGUGCCCUGUACCUUCCCCUCAUAAGCCUUCAUUAUCAUUGUAAUGAUAUGUUUAUGUAAUAUUUUGAUUAAUGUCUCUCCUUCACUGACCUAGCAGUUCUAGCAGGGCAGUGAUUUUGCUGUGUUGCAUCCCCAGCACCUAGUCUGGUAUGUGGCAUUCAGCAUAUGUUUAUUGAAUGAAUGGCCAUGUGGUUAUUCAGAUCCUCCUUGAUUAUUGGGGUUAGGAUUGUGGCAGAAGUGGCAAAAUCAGGGAGAGUAGUCCCUGUCCCCUCUGUAUCUUAUACACUGCCCACACUCCCAACACACAUACACAUACAGAGAAUUUUGUCUCAAUUAGAUAAUUAACUUCUGCUUGGUUGUAAACCAAACCACUGGUUCUUAAACUUUCAUUGGAUCAUUUUAUUGAAGAAUUAAAUAGUGUGGUUCUGGCCUAAUGUCUGGAAAGCCUUGCAGAGGAGUGGAUUAGGUCUUUGUGAUAAACAGGCAGCCUUCCCUGCUCCUGUGUCUUUAUAAAAUCUAUUUAACUGGAGUAGUCCACCCUCCCUCAGGCUCUUACAGGAAUAUGUUGGAGGCUGUAGGAAGGUGGGAAACCGAGAGGGAAAGGACUGGGCCGCUGGAGACUUCACUCAUUCCCUAGCAAGAAACAAAAGCAGUAAAAGGUGGCCCGAGGACAACCUGAAGCUCACUCCUUCAGCACUUUUGGCUGGAGGUCACUUGUUGGAGCCCCACUCAGAGCUCAGCACACCACCCCACCAGCAGCCUCCUCCUCCCAGCUGAGGCUGCAUUUCAUCCCUUCCCCCAGCCUGCUUUCCCUGAGAUAGGGGAGUGUUUCCCAGGGCCCAUGUGACUUCCACUGGCAAGUGACGAUUACCAAUGGUUUACUAGUCAGUGAAACUACCAAAGGCUUUUGUGCUGUAGUAAUCCUUUUCCUGUUUAAAACUCUGGGGAUUUUCUAAUGUUGCCAAUAGUUUUUCAAGUCAGCAAUUACUGUGUGGAUUAUGUAAUGGCUCGGUAUUAAAAAUAGAAAAGACUGGAGUUUGCAUCUAUUUUAACCAAAUCUUGAAAACAGAGCAAAGGGAGGGGAAGGGUGGAGAGGGAGAGACCAGAGGAGGAGGGAGAAAAAGAGAUCAUGUGACUGGAUAAGACAGCUCACAAUUCACUGUGCCUUUCUCCCACCAUUUGUGGCCCAAGGACCUGUACUCCCUCCUCAGCCUCCUCUAGGGAGGGGUCCUUGAUGAGAAUUCUGAGGACACAAGACCCCUUGUGGAUAUUUCUUAGCUCAGCCUUGGUGUGCUUACCUGCUUCUGACAAGCAAAGUGGCCAAGUAGGGGAGGGAGUUGAAUCUGAUGUCCUCCACUAAGUCCAG
rnacentral:lncRNA from 1 species